rnacentral:rRNA from 1 species
AGUUCGGAUCGGAGUCUGCAACCCGACUCCGUGAAGCUGGAUUCGCUAGUAAUCGCGCAUCAGCCAUGGCGCGGUGAAUACGUUCCCGGGCCUUGCACACACCGCCCGUCAAGCCAUGGGAGCCGGGGGUGCUUGAAGUGCGUCGCCGCGAGGCGCGCCCUAGAGCAAAACCGGUGACUGGGGCUAAGUCGUAACAAGGUACC